ACAAUUAGUAGCCUACAUGAAAUCAAAUGUAAUGAUAAUUUCUAUAAUAAUUUCUUAAUAUAAUUAUAUACAUUGACAAUAAAUAGAUAAACAAACAAAUAAAUCCCAAACCAGAGUGAGAGAGCUGAGAGCGCCCCCCGCCCCACUGUAGUCCGUACGCGUUCAUCCGGGUCCUGGAGCCUCAGCACAGACGCUGACCGCGGGUGUUCAUCUAUUAGCUAUUAGCCGACUAGCCUUCAGAUUCCACUGAGGACACAGUGAAGGUAUGAUAGAGCGUUUGUUUCAAAACGACCCCUUCUUACUAACAAGGAUACCGCGUAGAUUUCGUCGAGCAUGACUUUUUUUUUUUUCUCACGUCCGAGCAACUUUACAAUAAGUUUCCAUUGCUUAUUGCAUUAUUUAAGAGCGAUGUGCAAACUAGCUUGCUGGCUAGUCUGUGAGGGACACUUAUCCUAGCAUGCCAGUUGAGUAGAGCCGAUAUAUAUCACAUACUGUUCUCUAAAGAUUUUAAUAGUGUCGUGUCUGUCAAAAAUCACGUGCAGUUUCUACUUGUUCUGAGGGAUAUUAUAUUUGGGCGAUAGAUGUAUUAAUUGGCUAACUUAGCCGCUGGAGACCGCCAUUUUUUAUAAAUCAAGGGAGGGAAAUUUGAGCAACAUAUAAAGAGUUUGAUGGGAGAAACAAUUUAUAUGACUGUCUGUCUUAAAUUUUUCUCUGUGUAAAAUAACGUUUUGGAAUCCCAAUACACGUGGAUGAGGAAUCUCACUGUUAGCUGCGAGUUAGAGUACAGAAAUCUGAGGAAUAUUUACAGAUAGCUGGGCUUGUUCAAUACUAAUCCAACCAGGAUUUGUCAGUAAUUUACAGACGAGUGAGAGGUGUGAUUUCUUAAAUCAGUUUGACACUAAGCUUGAGCAGCAGAACCUCAAGGAGUGACAUUUCAGCUGCAAAUGCAAACUGCAUUCAACUAACGUUACAUUUGCUCUCUUUGAGAGCAUUCAAGCCUUGAAUUGAGUGUCUGCUGCUUUUCUGUAUCACGUAAUGAGCUUUCAGAGAAUAAUUGUAUGUUAAGUAAGGGUUCCCAGAUUGAAAAACUGCUAGUAUUCUCAGCUAAUUCAGUAGCACGUUUUUUUUUUAAUUAUUAUUAUUAAGUGCAAUUAACUGAUUGUUUGAUGCGCUUUGAGGAACUAGUAUCACAUGCACUGGUGUCCUCAGAGACGUGUCCUUUCAUAGAUGAAUAUGCAGCAUCAUUGGAAAACUGCAGGACUGCCAGAAUACUGACUGUGCAUUUGGAAAUGUGGUUGAUGCCGAGGCAAGAAUCCUAACAUGGCGGACAAAAGGGACUUCGGAAAACAUCAGUUUGGUUACUUCUGUCCCUAUCCAUUACUUCAUUUCCAGGUGGAAAGAAGGCAACAUGUGCACCAUGGGAUGAGGUAGUAGGUUGUAUAGUUUUAGGGUCACACCCACACUGGGAGAUAACUAUACAGCCUACUGUCUUUCUCAAAGUGAAAACGGAGCUACGGAGUAUCAUCCUACGUUUCCUGAUGUUUAAUAUCAAUGAUAGCUUUGUCACGGUAUGUGUUGAAAAUGUUUUUGAUUGUUAAUAGAGGCAGCAAUGCUUGUGCAGUGUGAGGUAGUAGAUUGUAUAGUUGUAGGGUAGUGAUUUUAUCCUGUGUAGCAGAUAACUAUACAAUCUAUUGCCUUCCCUGAGGGGCAGAAAUACACACCAAAUGAGCAUCUAAUUAUUUAAGAAAAUGUGAUGCAUGUGGUUUUUAAAUCAAGAUUGAAUUCUUUUCCUUGUCUAAAGUAUCUUUGUUUUUAACAAAUACAAUAAAUUAUUUCUAAAUUUA